AUCAGCCCUCACAUAUGGCGGAGGAAUACCAUGAAUACAAACUCCACAUUACAAAUUCACUUUAAAGACAAACUUUUAUUAAUGUCGUACAUAUGGAAAAUGAUUUCUAUUUGAUAUAAAUAACUUGGUAACGGCCCCAAGAAGAUCUGCCAUAUCAUGAAAUGUUGCCGUGCUUCCAUUUCCACCUAUUUUAGAUAAUGCGUCUGCAACUUGAUUUGCUUCCCGGAAAACAUGUCUGAACACCACUUCUCUUCCAAUCAUGAGAUCAUUUAUCUCCUCCCAUGCUUUCCAAAAUUUCCAUCUUGUACAUCGUUUAUUGAGGAACCAGUUCACAAUGACUUGAGAAUCACUUUCGAUUAUAAUCUUUGGGAAAUUUCGUUCUACACAUAUGUGGAUGCUUUCCAAAACAGCUUUUAGCUCCGCUCAUGUGUUAGUAUCGUGACCAUAGAAAGUGUGAAAAGCAUAGAUGAACUCUCCAUUAUCCGCCCUGAUCACUCCACCUCCACUACAAUUACCAGGAUUUCCUAUGCAGCAUCCAUCAAUGUUUAAUUUAACCCAGGUAGGGAGAGCAGGUAUCCAACGGACAAAUUUAGUGACUUUAUUUUGUGGUUUUCUGAAUUGGAUUCCCAAAUUUCGUAGUGCAAUACAAUCGAACGAAGAUAGUCUAGAUACCUUAGCCGCAUUGGCACAUAGUUCACCCAACCACCACUUCAUUGAAGCCCAAAUCUGAUCAUAAUUAAUGUCCACACCUUCCAUUUUUCUUCUGCACCUUGCUGUCCAAAUCGCCCAGAAAAUCAGAACAGGAGAAAAGCCAAUAAUCAUACCUACUUGGGACGUUUUUGAUCCCUUGGAGAACCAGAAAUUCAUUCUUUGUCUCCAGCCCAAAGAUGGAGUGUUAGCGAUGCCUGUCGUCGUCGAUAUCUGAUUCCAAAGAAAUUCUUCCAGGUCGCUGCCAUCCAACAAAUGGUUGAGAGACUCACAGUGAGGUGUACCACAACAUACACAUUUUCAUGCUAAGGUGAUCCCCACCAUUUGUAUUUUUUCAUCCACAACGAGUGCAUUUUGUAUAGCUUUCCAAGUAAUGAAAUAGAUUCUUUUUGGAAUUAGUGGAUGCCAUACCCAUUUAUCCCAAUCUACACUCUCCCGUUUGUCUCGAAUGAGAGGGUUUCCAAACAACUGUAUCCACUCCUUCACGUAACUUUGGAACAAAGUCUAUAGCAGCUUUAGCUAAAUCAUUCCCGAUUAAUUCUGAUAAGACAUCUUCAUUCUACCCCCUUGAGGUCACCACCGCAUUUGGCCUCAAAUCAGGUUCCACUAUCUCCACCAGGUAUGCUAAUGGUCCUAGACCAGACCAAUUUUCUUGCCAGAAAUUAACAUCUCCGCUUUUUAUGUGCCACACCGAAUUUUCAAUUACCGUAGGUAUCAAACUUGCUAUGCUCUUCCAAAAAGGUGAGUUUAAGGCUGAUAUCUGGAUCUCGUUGUAUGAAUUGUGCGGAAAAUAUUUUGCUUUUAGGAACUCUUAUAGUAGAGAAACAGAGAAACAAAAUUUCCAAGCAAAUCUUGCUUUUAGAGUCACUUGUACUUCUGCUAAGUCUCGAAUGCCUAAUCCUCCUUCUGAUAAUGGUUUGGUAAUUUUUCCAAAACUUACCCAAUGUCGCUUUACUUUACCAUCUGCCUCUCCCCAAAUAAAAUUUGAGAUUAAAGAAUGAAUUUGAUGAAUAACCCCUUGAGGUACGCAAAUAACCGAUAAGAUAUGUAUAGGCAUACUUAAAAGAACAUGCUUUACAAGAGUUAAUCUUCCUCCAACUGAUAAGAGUAAAGAUUUCCAGCCAGAUAUUUUCUUUCUCACCUUCAUAAUCAGCGGCUCGAAAUGUCUGAUACAUAAACGACCUGGGGCUAUUGGAGCCCCCAAAUAUCUGAUUGGAAAAGACCCUUGUGUGAAGUUACUCAAACGGAGUGAUUCAUUUUUCCUCUGCAAGGACAUGUGCUUUGAGAAAAAUAUUGCUGAUUUCC
rnacentral:lncRNA from 1 species